rnacentral:rRNA from 1 species
AUUGAACGCUGGCGGCGUGCUUAACACAUGCAAGUCGAGCGGAGAUAAGGUGCUUGCACCUUAUCUUAGCGGCGGACGGGUGAGUAAUGCUUAGGAAUCUGCCUAUUAGUGGGGGACAACAUUCCGAAAGGAAUGCUAAUACCGCAUACGUCCUACGGGAGAAAGCAGGGGAUCUUCGGACCUUGCGCUAAUAGAUGAGCCUAAGUCGGAUUAGCUAGUUGGUGGGGUAAAGGCCUACCAAGGCGACGAUCUGUAGCGGGUCUGAGAGGAUGAUCCGCCACACUGGGACUGGAACACGGCCCAGACUCCUACGGGAGGCAGCAGUGGGGAAUAUUGGACAAUGGGGGGAACCCUGAUCCAGCCAUGCCGCGUGUGUGAAGAAGGCCUUAUGGUUGUAAAGCACUUUAAGCGAGGAGGAGGCUACUGAGACUAAUACUCUUGGAUAGUGGACGUUACUCGCAGAAUAAGCACCGGCUAACUCUGUGCCAGCCGCCGCGGUAACAC